UACGGAGGGUGCGAGCGUUAAUCGGAAUUACUGGGCGUAAAGCGCGCGUAGGCGGCUUGAUCAGUCGGAUGUGAAAGCCCCGGGCUUAACCUGGGAACUGCAUUCGAUACUGUCUGGCUAGAGUAUGGUAGAGGGAAGUGGAAUUCCGGGUGUAGCGGUGAAAUGCGUAGAUAUCCGGAGGAACACCAGUGGCGAAGGCGACUUCCUGGACCAAUACUGACGCUGAGGUGCGAAAGCGUGGGGAGCAAACAGG
rnacentral:misc_RNA from 1 species